rnacentral:rRNA from 1 species
GACGAACGCUGGCGGCGUGCUUAACACAUGCAAGUCGAACGGAAAGGCCCUGCUUUUGUGGGGUGCUCGAGUGGCGAACGGGUGAGUAACACGUGAGUAACCUGCCCUUGACUUUGGGAUAACUUCAGGAAACUGGGGCUAAUACCGGAUAGGAGCUCCUGCUGCAUGGUGGGGGUUGGAACGUUUCGGCGGUUGGGGAUGGACUCGCGGCUUAUCAGCUUGUUGGUUGGGUAGUGGUUUACCAAGGCUUUGACGGGUAGCCGGCCUGGGAGGGUGACCGGCCACCUGGGGCCUAAGAGAGGGAGCAGUCUCCAACGGGAGGCAGCGGGGGGGAGUAUGGCACAAUGGGAGGAAGCGGGAGGAGACAGCCCCGGGGGCGGGAUGACGGCUUUCGGGUUGAAAACCGCUUUCGCCUGUGACGAAGCGGGAGUGACGGUAAUGGGUAAAGAAGCACCGGCUAACUACGUG